ACCUGGGUGGCUCAGUCAGUUAAGCAUCUGACUUCGGUUCAGGUCAGGAUUUCACGGUUCGUGGGUUCGAGCCCCACAUCAGGCU
rnacentral:tRNA from 1 species